AGAGUUUGAUCAUGGCUCAGAUUGAACGCUGGCGGUAGGCUUAACACAUGCAAGUCGUGCGAGAAAGUAUCUUCGGAUAUGAGUAGAGCGGCGGACGGGUGAGUAACGCGUAGGAAUCUACCUAGUAGAAGGGGAUAGCCCGAGGAAACUCGGAUUAAUACCGUAUACCUCCUUCGGGAGAAAGAAGGCCUCUCAUUGAAGCUUUCGCUACUAGAUGAGCCUGCGUAAGAUUAGCUUGUUGGUGAGGUAAAGGCUCACCAAGGCAACGAUCUUUAGCGGGUCUGAGAGGACGAUCCGCCACAUUGGGACUGAGACACGGCCCAGACUCCUACGGGAGGCAGCAGUGGGGAAUAUUGGACAAUGGGCGCAAGCCUGAUCCAGCCAUACCGCGUGUGUGAAGAAGGCCCUAGGGUUGUAAAGCACUUUAAGUUGGGAAGAAAAGUUAUUGGCUAAUACCCAAUGACCGUGACAUUACCUUCAGAAUAAGGACCGGCUAAUUCCGUGCCAGCAGCCGCGGUAAUACGGAAGGUCCAAGCGUUAAUCGGAAUUACUGGGCGUAAAGCGCGCGUAGGUGGUUUAUUAAGUUGGAUGUGAAAUCCCCGGGCUCAACCUGGGAACUGCAUCCAAAACUGAUUCACUAGAGUACGAUAGAGGGAGGUAGAAUUCACAGUGUAGCGGUGGAAUGCGUAGAUAUUGUGAAGAAUACCAAUGGCGAAGGCAGCCUCCUGGAUCUGUACUGACACUGAGGUGCGAAAGCGUGGGUAGCGAACAGGAUUAGAUACCCUGGUAGUCCACGCCGUAAACGAUGUCAACUAGCUGUUGGGGAACUAUGUUCUUCAGUGGCGCAGCUAACGUAGUAAGUUGACCGCCUGGGGAGUACGGCCGCAAGGCUAAAACUCAAAUGAAUUGACGGGGACCCGCACAAGCGGUGGAGCAUGUGGUUUAAUUCGAUGCAACGCGAAAAACCUUACCUAUACUUGACAUACUUGGAAUGCUUUGUAAUGAAGCAGUGCCUUCGGGAGCCAGGAUACAGGUGCUGCAUGGCUGUCGUCAGCUCGUGUCGUGAGAUGUUCCGUUAAGUCGGAUAACGAGCGCAACCCUUACCCUUAUUUGCCAGCGAUUCGGUCGGGAACUAUAAGGGGACUGCCGGUGAUAAACCGGAGGAAGGUGAGGACGACGUCAAGU
rnacentral:rRNA from 1 species